ACAGAGGCCGUAAGAAGAGGAAGCCUGAAGCCUCCACUUAAAACUCAACCAGAAGCCAUGCAGCAGUCCUCACAAACGGUCAUACAUCUAACACUUUACAACAUGAGUUUAACCAGAAAGAGAAAAACUAGUGGAUUACUUACAUACAACUGCUAACAAGAGAAAACUGGGCCUCUUCCCACCGAUUAAUUUGGCGUCAGUUUUAAAAGGAGCUGUUUUAAUAAGAUUUAAAAAAACAUUUUCUAACACAUCAGUAUGUUGUGAAAACUGUCAUUUCAUUUGCAGCUAUCAGAAAACUUUUCCAAAGUCUUAAAAAUUGAUGUAACUAAUUUGUCUUCCAUAUUGUGUCAAAUAUUGCUUAUGUGGCAUUUCUUUUUUAAACAUCAUUUUUAAAGGGUAAGCUUAUUGUUUAAAACAUUAAAGCAGAAAACUAUUUAAGAGAACUAGUAAAAAAAAAAUCCCACACUCUCACUCCCAGAUUCUUUUCUAGCCGCCCUCUUGCCCCAUUUUAAUGCUAGACAGGACUUCAAGGGAAAUGGUGGACUGUAGGAUCUUGGGAGGGAGGAGAGGAGGUGAAAUUGGAAGCAGGAGAAAGAGAUGAUUCCCCAAAGAAGGAGAAAUUGUCUAUCCACCCCGAGAGGCUGAUUCUCCCUGGUAACCCGAGAAAGACGAAUAGAAACUGCAGGAAGAAGAUACCAGUUUUAUUGUCUCUGAUUGGCAAAUAUGAAAAAAAAGAUUGACAGUAUCAAAUGGAGGGAACGCAGGGGGCGGGCUGCAGUGUUAAAUGGGAGGAGUAACCGAGGACUCGAGCUCAUUGAUGACGCGACCCUCACGUGACCAGGAGUCGACGUGUGCAGAAGUCCUUAUAGUCCAGGGCCUGUUUCCCAGGAGCAGCUCCCUAUAGCUGGAGAAGGAGAAAAGUGCCCCGGAUCCUUUCAGGACUCUUGGUCUUUGGGGAGCGACCCAAAUCGACUGAGGGAAGAGGGAGGAAAAUUCCCUGGAUCCCUGCAGGUCAGUGUAAAGGUGCAGUUGCCUCCUGUUCCUGGGGGUGGGGUGUGAGUGCGGAUGACACCGAAGCCCAUCCUGGGGUCACUGCAGCCUCCCCAUCCGGAUGAAGCGCCA
rnacentral:lncRNA from 1 species